GGGCCUAAAGCGUUCGUAGCCGGUUUAGUAAAUUUUUUGUGAAAUUGUCUAGCUCAACUAAACAACGCGCAAGAAACACUGCUAAACUUGGAACUGGGAGGGGGUAGAGGUAUUUCAGGGGGAGCGGUAAAAUGUGAUAAUCCUUGAAAGACCACCUAUGGCGAAGGCUUCUACCCAGAACAGGUUCGACGGUGAGGAACGAAAGCUAGGGGAGCGAUCUGGAUUAGAUACCCAAGUAGUCCUAGCUGUAAACGCUGCGAGCUAUGUGGUGCACAUUCUUAGUGUAUGUGCAGCGCCUAAGUGAAGACGUUAAGCUCGCCGCCUGGGAAGUACGGCCGCAAGACUGAAACUUAAAGGAAUUGGCGGGGGAGCACAA
rnacentral:rRNA from 1 species